UGGGUGACAGAAAAUCUACAAGCCAUUAAAAGAAAAGUUCGAUAAAUUGAAAUCCUUUAAAGGAAAUCAGUACAAACCUCCUAAGAUUCCAAACGUAAGCUGCAAAACUCGUCAGACAAAGCACCCAUUAAUUCCUAAGUACAGAGUCAAUAAAUCUAAAACGGCCAG